AUUGAACGCUGGCGGCAGGCCUAACACAUGCAAGUCGAGCGGAUGACGGGGGCUUGCUCCUUGAUUCAGCGGCGGACGGGUGAGUAAUGCCUAGGAAUCCGCCUGGUAGUGGGGGACAACGUUUCGAAAGGAACGCUAAUACCGCAUACGUCCUACGGGUGAAAGCAGGUGACCUCCGGUCCUUGCGCUAGCAGAUGAGCCUAGGUCGGAUUAGCUAGUUGGUGAGGUAAUGGCUCACCAAGGCGACGAUCCGUAACUGGUCUGAGAGGAUGAUCAGUCACACUGGAACUGAGACACGGUCCAGACUCCUACGGGAGGCAGCAGUGGGGAAUAUUGGACAAUGGGCGAAAGCCUGAUCCAGCCAUGCCGCGUGUGUGAAGAAGGUCUUCGGAUUGUAAAGCACUUUAAGUUGGGAGGAAGGGCAGUAAGUUAAUACCUUGCUGUUUUGACGUUACCGACAGAAUAAGCACCGGCUAACUCUGUGCCAGCAGCCGCCGUAAGAC
rnacentral:rRNA from 1 species